rnacentral:rRNA from 1 species
CUACGGGACGCUGCAGCUGAGGAACUUUUACAAUGCACGCAAGUGUGAUAGAGUAAGCCAGAGUGUUUCUCUUAGAGAAACUUUUAUCUGCUUUAAAACGGCAGAUGAAUAAGGACUGGGCAAGACCGGUGCCAGCCGCCGCGGUAAUACCGGCGGUCCAAGUCGCAUCCACAUUUAUUGGGUCUAAAACAUUCGUAGCUUGUUCUGUAAGUCUCUUGUGAAAUCUCAUGUCUCAAGCAUGAGGCGUGCAAGAGAUACUGCAUUACUAGAGACCGGAAGACGCAACGAGUACGACUAAGGUAGCGGUAAAAUGUGUUAAUUUUGGUUGGACUAACAAUGGCGAAGGCACGUUGCGAGUACGGAUCUGACAGUGAGGGAUGAAGGCUAGGGGCGCAAAACGGAUUAGAUACCCGCGUAGUC